rnacentral:lncRNA from 1 species
GCGCCGCCGUAGGUACCUCCACAACUGUCGCUAGGAAAGCGAUACACCCACUGCUCAGCAUCUGUCGAGCCCUCGCCGAAGAUAUCCAGGUGGCAAACAGCGUGCUCCUGCAGCCUCUGAAAGUAAACUACUCCUGGCCUGGCUCGCGGAACGUCACCGUCCUCGCUCCACAGUCGAUCGUAGCAUAGUACCGCGCCAGCCAAUCCAUACCGAGCACUACGUCAAAGUCCUGCAGCUGCCCUAACACCAACAGGUCUGCGGGCAUGAUCCAAGAGUCUAACUGCACCGGACAGGACCAACAACACUCUGUAACCUGCAAGACAUGGUCGGGGAUCUGCACCUCUCGUGCCUGAGACAACGCUCCUAACUCUAGACCAUGCAACAAUACAAAUGCUCGGCUAACAAAGGAAUGCGAUGCACCGGUAUCAAAAAGAGUGCGAACUCUAAUACCAGAAAUCAAAGUGAUACCUGCCACCACUCGGUCGGCUGCUGAAGAGUCCUCCACCUGAGCUGCGUAGACCCUGCCACUCGGAGCCUGCUGUCGCCGCUCACUCGACCGCGGCACAGACGAUCUGUCCUCCUGGCGGUAGCUCGGUGCUGCUCCGUAGGACUGCUGUGGUGCUGGUGGUGCUGAAGCUGAU